GAUCCUGGCUCAGGACGAACGCUGGCGGCGUGCCUAAUACAUGCAAGUAGAACGCUGAAGAGAGGAGCUUGCUCUUCUUGGAUGAGUUGCGAACGGGUGAGUAACGCGUAGGUAACCUGCCUUGUAGCGGGGGAUAACUAUUGGAAACGAUAGCUAAUACCGCAUAACAAUGGGUGACUCAUGUCAUUUAUUUGAAAGGGGCAAAUGCUCCACUACAAGAUGGACCUGCGUUGCA
rnacentral:rRNA from 1 species